UACGUAGGGUGCGAGCGUUAAUCGGAAUUACUGGGCGUAAAGCGUGCGCAGGCGGUUUUGUAAGCCAGAUGUGAAAUCCCCGGGCUUAACCUGGGAAUGGCAUUUGGGACUGCAAGGCUUGAGUUUGGCAGAGGAGACUGGAAUUCCUGGUGUAGCAGUGAAAUGCGUAGAUAUCAGGAGGAAUACCGAUGGCGAAGGCAGGUCUCUGGGCUGACACUGACGCUCAUGCACGAAAGCGUGGGGAGCAAACAGG
rnacentral:rRNA from 1 species